rnacentral:rRNA from 1 species
GAUGAACGCUAGCUACAGGCUUAACACAUGCAAGUCGAGGGGCAGCAUUUUUAUAGCAAUAUAAAAGAUGGCGACCGGCGCACGGGUGAGUAACACGUAUCCAACCUGCCGAUAACUCGGGGAUAACCCUUCGAAAGAAGAUUAAUAUCCGAUAGCAUAUAUUUCCCGCAUGGGUUUUAUAUUAAAGAAAUUCGGUAUGAGAUGGGGAUGCGUUCCAUUAGUUUGUUGGCGGGUAACGGCCCACCAAGACUACGAUGGAUAGGGGUUCUGAGAGGAAGGUCCCCCACAUUGGAACUGAGACACGGGUCCAAACUCCUACGGGAGGCAGCAGUGAGGAAUAUUGGUCAAUGGACGAGAGUCUGAACCAGCCAAGUAGCGUGAAGGAUGAAGGUCCUAAUGGAUUGUAAAACUUCUUUUAUACGGGAAUAAAAGUGCAGUAUGCAUACUGUUUUGUAUGUACCGUAUGAAUAAGGAUCGGCUAACUCCGUG